ACUGUGACUUUGGAAUUUCCCCAUUUCUGUAGAAAUGGAGUUUAAUUGCUCCAUUUAUUUAAUUGCUUUAUUGGUUGCUUAUUAUUGUGCUGUAAAAAAUGGCACUAAUCCAUAAUGCACAGGUUUAUGCUUAUGUAACACUUAUGUUCUCACUUGAGGUCAGGAGUUUGAGACCAGUCUGGGCAACAUGGUGAAACCCUGCCCCAUCGCUAUAAAAAUACAAAAAAUUAGCUAGGUGUGGUGGUGCACACCUCCAGUCCUAGCUAUCCCUUAGGUGAGCUGUAGUGUGCACAGAUUUGGGGCCUGGCCUGAGCCUAGGAAUCUCAGUGGAGGAUGCUGCAUGGUGAGGCCCAUGGCCUGGCUUUAUCAGAGUCCUCCUGUCUCGUCACAGGGGAUUUCCCAUGCAGCCCCUGCUGCCUGGGGGGUGGGUUUGAUACUGG
rnacentral:lncRNA from 1 species